UCUGGUAUCUUAAAUCCCCAUUUAAGUGAGUAAUAAAUUACUACGUCGUUUAUUUCCAGAGAAGCCGCCCUUUUAAUCAGUUUGCAGCAUCACUAAGAGCAGGCACCCCCAAUUUUCGGCCUGCCAGAUGUUUUGGACUACAAUUCCCAUCAUCCCUGACCACCGGUCCUGUUAGCUAGGGAUCAUGGGAGUUGUAGGCCAAAACAUCUGGAGGGCCGCAGGUUGGGGAUGUCUGACUAAGAGCCUUGGGAUACUUUCAAAAGUACAGCAAAUUCCUAUGUUUACUAAGACGCAAAAAAAUUAAUUAACUCUUGGGCGUUAUGCAGUGGGAUCUACUUCUGAAUAACUAGGGUUGGUGCCCCGGAAGACAAUGACACUGCAAAUUUUAAUAAGCUUACUCGGCAGAAAGUGGCACCGCGUUUAAUUGUAUUUAUUCCUAGGGAGGUGUGCAUAGGAUUGCAGCUAUCAUUGCACUUCUGUGCAUAUUCACUUGGAAAUAAAUCUGACUGUGUUCCUUGCUCCAAUCCUGUACAUGCUUACUUUGGAGUAGACUCCGUUUAGUAUUGAUUUACUUCUGAGUAAACAUAUACAGAAUUGUGACUGUUAUAGAAUCAUAGAAUUGUAGAGUUGGAAGGGACCCUGAGGAUCAUCUAGGCCAACCCCCUGCAAUGCAGGAAUAAAUCAGCUAGUCUAUAACUGUGAAGUCCUUUUAAAUACAUAUUAAGAAAUAAGCCCCAUUGUAUUUGCUGUAAGCGUGGAUGGGAUCACACCCCACAACUCUUUGUUGGUUAUAUUGCUUACUUACUACAUUGCUUACCAAACCACUCUGAACAACAACAAAAAUAGUAAAAUCACUAUAAAUCAAACAACCUUCAAUAAUACUUAAAACAAUAAUCCUCUAAAUUCCCUCAUGUGUAUUGAUGCUUGUCAAUUCAGGAUCUUUGUGCAUCUGGUAAAUAGUUAUGAAAGUUUAUUGCAUUUACAUUUAUAAGUAUUUAAGGUGCCACAAGACUCUAAUUUUUGCUACAAUAGACUAAAAUGGCUCUCCUGUAAAUUUAAAAGUGGACAGCAGUCCAUUUAUCAAAACACUGUUCCAACAUACAUUGUGGUACUUUAAAAAAAUCCUAAUUGGUACCAGUGCAGUCAGGCCGGGAUUGGCCUAUCUUGCCCUGGUGAGCAACAAAGUAAGUACAGUUAACUCUUUAUUAGGUGGGGAAAAGGAUCUGCACAGAAGUAUUAGGCCAAAUAAGCACAGCAGUUCUUCUUUGGUAGGUUCCCUAAUGAAGCAGCUGCGGAGAUUGAAGGGUCUCCAGGGUUUUCCCCAAGCAAUCUGAGACUGCGCCUGUAUGACGCUAAUUUCUCCGUCAUCCUCUUCAUGCCUCUCUUGGCUCUGGGAAACCAGGCUGGAGCUAGGGGAGCUUGUUGCAGCAGGAUGGGGAGACACCUGUACACCUUCACCAGCCUGACUCAUCUCUGCCUAUUGGCCUCCCUCAUUCUACUCACCUGCUUUAGCGUCUGCUUCUGGACUUCUCUCUGCCAUAAACACUGUCUGCUCACUAAGCCCUGCUGCCUCUUCAGCUUCUGACACUUCCUUCUCCCUCUGACCACUCAUCGUUGUCCCAUCACCACUUCCUGGGCUCUGAGCCUUCUUCCCUUGGUGGUUCCCCAGCUGCUUCCUCCCACCAUUCCUCUGUAUCCAAAUAGUCCAUGACAACAUUGCCAGGUACCAAACCGAUUGCAUUCUGAAAAUAUUCUUAGGUGAACAAUUCAUUUUUUAUUUCAGACAUUUAUAUACAGUACCACUUUUAGUAGUUAUGAUGAGCUAUGCAUCUGAGCCAUGGGGGACCACCCACAGAGACUCCCUCAACUAUCUUAGUAAUUGGGCUGGAUAUAAAGGUGGUGUUUGAGAUAUCCUGGAUGCAAGGGGGUAAGGGCUUUGUAAAUUAAGACAAGAACCUUGAACUAGUUUAGAUGUACAGUCACAAAGCUGUGUGGCAAGCAGGACGUUAGCAGGUGUUCAGCAGAUAAAGGUAAAAGGACCCCUGACCAUUAGGUCCAGUCGUGACCGACUCUGGGGUUGUGGCGCUCAUCUCGCUUAGCCGGCGUACAGCUUCCAGGUCAUGUGGCCAGCAUGACUAAGCCGCUUCUGGCGAACCAGAGCAGUGCACGGAAACGCCGUUUACCUUCCCACCAGAGCGGUACCUAUUUAUCUACUUGCACUUUGACGUGCUUUCGAACUGCUAGGUUAGCAGGAGCAGGGACCGAGCAACGGGAGCUCACCCCGUCGUGGGGAUUUGAACUGCCGACCUUCUGAUCAGCAAGUCCUAGGCUCAGUGGUUUAACCCACAGCACCACCCGCGUCCCUAUGUUCAGCAGAUAGCACUAGACAAAUUCAUGAUGUGUUGAACCCUAAGCAGAAAUGGAUACUGGUCAGUGUCCAGAUAGGAGACUGCCUGGAAGCUUUAUAAAUAUUGCCUUGGGGUCCAUGGAAGAAAGAUGUGAUAUACAUUUAACAGAUAAUCAAACCUCCAUGUUCAGAAGCAAUAUAUCUCUUUAAUACCAGAUGCUGCACACAAACAAGGGAAAGGCUGUAAUAUUCACGUUCUGUUUGUAAGUGCCCAGAAUAAUCCUGAAUAGUGUUGGAAAUCAAUUACUGAUCCAAUAAGUCAGUGGCAUUAAUUUAUGGGACGCAGGGCAGAAUCUAAGCUUUUCCUAGCACUGAAUCUACAUGUUGGGGAAACCCUCGGCUGCAGGAUUUAUGGGUGUUAAAUGGCUCUUGAAAGGGAAUUGCUGAAGGAUGGGCAUGAAUCAAGUUAAGUUAGUAUAUUUUAAAAAACAAUGAACACAUUAGUUUGCUCCGGCCUAAACAUGAACCAAAUCAAGCUCAGCUUAAUAGCUAUGUAUAACGACGCAUGAAGGGCUUGAUUUCCUGGUUUUCUUGCCCUUCUGGGACUGUAAAAAGUAAACAGGGGCCUCAUCAAGCACCUGCCACCUGGCAAAUAGUCAGUGAGACGGAUCGUGGACAAGAGUUUGCCAUAGCACAUCAAACCAACUUCCUGUAAACACUGGGGUUACAGAAUGGUAUAAAUUGUGAAUUUAUUGCAGUACAUAAUCAAGGUAGAAUGCAAUCCUAAACAUUAUUAGCACCUGUCAGCAUAGAAUCAGGGGGUGGUAUUCAUUUGUUAUUAAUUUAGAUUAAAUGAAAAUGAAUAAAUGUGAGACAGGGCAACCUUUCCAUAUUAUAUUACACAACAGCCUUUUUAUUUUCUCAGGAUUUUCCCAAUU
rnacentral:lncRNA from 1 species